GUCGGUUUACUGUCAGCAUGGUAAAGCGAUUGAGCCGUACUUGGAAUAUAUGGAUAGGUUGUGUGACGUGACGAAAGGGAAACGAGUGCUCAUAGGAAUGGAUGCGAAUGCUGUCUCCCCAUUAUGGUUUAGUAAGGGAAACAUUGGUGGCAGGGCGAAGGAAUUGCGUGGAGAAUCCUUGAGGAUUGGAUUACUGGUAAUGAUAUGAUUGUGUUGAAUGAGCCGAGUGAUGAAUACACUUUUAGUGGCCCUAAUGGAGAGAGUGAUAUUGAUGUGACAUUGAUGAAUGAGAAAUGUGCGGACUACCAUUUUGAAUGGGAAGUCAUGAAUGAGUGGGGUAUUAGUGAUCACAAUGUGAUACGAAUAUGCAUGAAGUACGGAUAUGCAUAAGCGUCGGAUUGUUCACCCGCCAACAGAGAACGUGAGCUGGGUUUAGACCGUCGUGAGACAGUUUAGUUUUACUCUACUGAUGAUUAGUCAUUGCGACAGUAAUCCUGCUCAGUACGAGAGGAACCGCAGGUUCGGACAUUUGGUUCACGCACUCGGUCAAGCGGCCGGUGGUGCAAAGCUACCAUCCGUGGGAUUAUGCCUGAACGCCUUUAAGGCCGUAUCCUCUCUAGUCAAAGGUGGCAAUGAUAUAUCUAAGAAUCUCGU
rnacentral:ncRNA from 1 species